UACAGAGGGUGCGAGCGUUGUUCGGAAUUACUGGGCGUAAAGCGCGCGCAGGCGGCUCUUUAAGUCUACCCGUGAAAUGCCGGAGCUCAACUCCGUGCACGCCGGGGGAUACUGGAGAGCUGGAGACAUGUAGAGGCAAGCGGAAUUCCGGGUGUAGCGGUGGAAUGCGUAGAGAUCCGGAAGAACACCGGAGGCGAAGGCGGCUUGCUGGGCAUGGUCUGACGCUGAGGCGCGAAAGCGUGGGGAGCGAACAGG
rnacentral:rRNA from 1 species